UUGAUUCAUUUUCGAAACGCCCGCAAGGGGCGCCGAGAUGGCUCAGAUAGUAAAAAACCCGCGAGGGGGUAUACAAUAAGAGUUUUGGUUGGUCCUCCGGCGGGCGCCUUGGUCCGGGGCUGCGACGCACCCGGGGCAGAGAUCCCGCCGAGGCAACAGUUUGGUAACGUUCACAUUGGGUUUGGGAGUUGUAAACUCGGUAAUGAUCCCUCCGCUGGUUCACCAACGGAGA
rnacentral:misc_RNA from 1 species